rnacentral:snoRNA from 11 species
UCCUUCUCAAUGAGCUCCUUCCUGCUGUAAAUCCAGUGGCAGGCUGUGGAUUCGCACGAGAAGAAGAGCAAAAUCUCCAGUUCUGACCUCCGUGCUGCUUCUGUCUGCUUCAGCUGAGCAAGCGGUCAUUGCUGGGGGACAAAG